AAGGAUCAUUACAGAGUUCAUGCCCUCACGGGUAGAUCUCCCACCCUUGAAUAACAUACCUUUGUUGCUUUGGCAGGCCGCACUCGUGCCACAGGCUUCGGCUUCUGAGUGCCUGCCAGAGGACCACAACUCUUGUUUUUAGUGAUGUCUGAGUACUAUAUAAUAGUUAAAACUUUCAACAACGGAUCUCUUGGUUCUG
rnacentral:misc_RNA from 1 species